GACGAACCGUGCUAACGUUGUUCGGAAUCACUGGGCUUAAAGGGCGCGUAGGCGGGCCGCCAAGUCUGGGGUGAAAUCCCACGGCUCAACCGUGGAAGUGCCCCGGAUACUGGCGGCCUCGAGGGAGGUAGGGGCGUGCGGAACUUCCGGUGGAGCGGUGAAAUGCGUAGAGAUCGGAAGGAACGCCGGUGGCGAAAGCGGCACGCUGGACCUCUUCUGACGCUGAGGCGCGAAAGCCAGGGGAGCAAACGGG
rnacentral:rRNA from 1 species